rnacentral:rRNA from 1 species
CCUACGGGAGGCAGCAGUGAGGAAUAUUGGUCAAUGGACGGAAGUCUGAACCAGCCAUGCCGCGUGCAGGAAGACGGCUCUAUGAGUUGUAAACUGCUUUUGUACAAGGGUAAACCUGAAUACGUGUAUUCAGCUGAAAGUACUGUACGAAUAAGGAUCGGCUCACUCCGUGCCAGCAGCCGCGGUAAUACGGAGGAGCCAAGCGUUAUCCGGAUUUAUUGGGUUUAAGGGGUGCGUAGGCGGAUUGAUAAGUUAGUGGUGAAAUGUCCGGGCUUAACUGGGGAACUGCCUGUAAUACUGUUGAUCGAGAGAGUAGAUGAGGUAGGCGGAAUGUAUGGUGUAGCGGUGAAAUGCUUAGAGAUCAUACAGAACACCGAUUGCGAAGGCAGCUUACCAAUCUAUAUCUGACGUUGAGGCACGAAAGCGUGGGGAGCAAACAGGAUUAGAUACCCGAGUAGUC